rnacentral:rRNA from 1 species
CACGUAGGAGGCGAGCGUUGUCCGGAAUCAUUGGGCGUAAAGAGCGCGCAGGCGGCUUGGCAAGUCGGGUGUGAAAUCCCGGGGCUCAACCCCGGGACUGCAUUCGAUACUGUCAGGCUAGAGGUAGGUAGGGGAGAUCGGAAUUCCUGGUGUAGCGGUGAAAUGCGCAGAUAUCCGGAGGAAUACCAAAGGCGAAGGCAGUGUCCUGGCUGGCAACUGACGCUGAGGCGCGAAGGCUAGGGGAGCGAACAGG